UACGGGGGGGGCAAGCGUUGUUCGGAAUUACUGGGCGUAAAGGGCUCGUAGGCGGCCAACUAAGUCCGACGUGAAAUCCCCAGGCUUAACCUGGGAACUGCGUCGGAUACUGGAUGGCUUGAAUUCGGGAGAGGGAUGCAGAAUUCCAGGUGUAGCGGUGAAAUGCGUAGAUAUCUGGAGGAACACCGGUGGCGAAGGCGGCAUUCUGGACCGACAUUGACGCUGAGGAGCGAAAGCCAGGGGAGCAAACGGG
rnacentral:rRNA from 1 species